rnacentral:lncRNA from 1 species
AUUUGUGCUUCCUUUGAAUUUGUCUUCUCAGGGUUCUUCCUUUCCAUGCAGACUGAAGCACCAGUACUGCAUGAUGGAGUUCAACAUACUCCAUACGUUGUUUCUUUCCUAUAGCCCAUGCUCUUAGAUGUUGCUGGAUGAUUAAUGCUGCUGAUUUUAACAAUCUGAAUUGUUUCUGGGCCUUGUUCAUUCUAAAAGUAGACUGAAUCUUGAUUGCAGCUUGAUGUUCCCUUCUGAUCUGCUGCCGGACUUUCCAGCCUCGAUAAGCAGACUGAAG